rnacentral:rRNA from 2 species
CAAACGACUCUCGGCAACGGAUAUCCCGGCUCUCGCAUCGAUGAAGAACGUAGCGAAAUGCGAUACUUGGUGUGAAUUGCAGAAUCCCGUGAACCAUCGAGUCUUUGAACGCAAGUUGCGCCCGAGGCCGUCAGGCUAAGGGCACGUCUGCCUGGGUGUCACGC